GUCUGGAGGAAAUACUUAGUCAUUUUGUAAAAAAAAAAAUUGUUGAUGCAGCUUCGUGCAAGACAAGCACUUGGGCAGAUUAUUACUUCUGGUGAUAGUUAAUUGUAAUCAGUUACUCCAUUCAAAGCCCCUGGGCUGCAGGCAAAGAGAAAUCUCGAUAGAAUUUAUUUUCUCCCAAUUCCCACCUUAUAUGUAAGGUGUAUCGGCCUUGUGCUUCAGCAUCAAGUAUGGUAUGCUUCAGUGGAUGUAUUUCAGUGACUUCCUUGCUGUCUUUCCUAGAGGUGUAUAUAAUUACUUGUAUUUUUUUGAACCAGUCAGAGCAGUGUGAAAGAUUUUCAAUUUUGUAAGCACUCCUGACCAGGUUGCCCCGAAGUCUCUUUCUCUUUUGCUCACAUCUUGUAAGUCGGAAGAUCGAAGUAGAUUUACAGGCUUUAGUAUUGUACUAUGAGUAGUAAAUGCCAAUUUUAGAACUUAGUUUCAAUUUCAUUCUGAUGCUGGGAUAUUGACAAAUGGUUGAAUUCUAUGUGUAAGCAACAUGUCAAGGGGUAAUGAUUGAGGUGUAUUUUGUAAAUUAUUGUGAUGUUUUUAUGAACAUUCUUUGCGAACCAAA